GGCCUCUGUUCCCGCGCUGCGCCGGCGGAACCGAAAGCUCGUGCGCCGGUCGCUGUCGCAGGCGGUCGGGCCCGGUUGCGGCCGUUUAGCCGGCGCGCGAAAUCGGGGGUGACAACAAUCGGUGCCAUCGACCAGACUGGCGUUGGCGGAGGGCGGGAUCAGCCGGCACCGGGCUUCCGAGGCUGUCAGUCACUCGGCGCCGUGUCUGCCACCGCGCUGCAGCUGCCAGUUAGCGUAGCGCACGCGCUCAGCACACCCGGUGAGCCGCCAGCAUCCGUGGAUUUUACGUUGCACCGCCAUAUUGGAGAAGGCAUGCGAGUGCUGGACCAGGGCUCAGUGUGACAGUUACAUCUCAGAGAAUUUCUAUAACUACAGUAUUUCUUGUCACGUGACUUGUCAGUCGUCAUUCAAAAGUUAAAUCUUGAAUUGAUGGGGACAUUUUGUCUUCGUCGUCCAUAGAAGAAGCUGGAAGUUGACAAUAAAAAAAAACCUUUAAAUUUUAUGUGUAAAAUAACUGAUUUUCUAAAAACUAAAAAGGUCUUAGUGUUUGUGACUCUCUUUCCUUCUCACUACAUGGACGAGUCUUUGCAACCAGGCAACCAGAUUUAUUAUUAUUCAUUUUUCACAUCAUCGCUCCAGUUUUAGGAUGUGUGUUUACUUCUUGUUUUAAAGAGUUUCUGAGUUGUACCCGCGCUUGCUGUGACUCACGGGCGCUUUGAUCUGACACAGAUGCCAUUUAAUGAAGAUAACCGAAGUCGCAGUUCAUUAUGGAUACUUGAUUUUGGCUUUAGGCUAGCAACCAAGGAUGCACAGUAGGACGCUGAGGACAACUUCACUGAACGCUGAGCCUCCACCCAUCCGGCAACACAGGCAGAAAAGGGAGAACGAGAGGGAGGACGGAGAGAAAAGGGAGGCAAAGGAGGGAGCCACUGGGGGCCCCUGCCAUGUGAGGAGGAGGAGGAGGAGGGAUGAUGCUGGUGCAGAGGAGUGAAAGAGAGAGGAGACUGAUUAAGGGUGAGGAAAAGAGAGAGAGAGAAUGAUGAAGAUUGUCCACAGCCCCUGAUUCCUGGCCAGAUCUCACAGAUGCCUGAUGCAAAGUCUUUCAUCAAUGCUAAUUUGACUGCUUUAAAACUUCAAAGGACAAUAACACUUCUAAUGUCGAUUCAGUGUUAGUGUGCUGGCGUAUCAGUGCGCAUGUGAGUUUACCUUGUUCAGUGCACAGUGAUAUAUAGUCUCUCAGAAGUGAGGUUCAAACAAUAUUUAGUGGUAAAAAGAUCCUGAAUUGCUGUUUAUGAACACAGGUUUCCUAAAGUGUGUUAAUCCGUUACAUUGUUUGUGUAUUUGUGUCUGAUUUAUUCCGGGUAGAAAUAUAUUGUCCUAAAAAAAUAAAAAUAAUAAUGAAUGUUGUGUUGUUGUGUUUGUUUCCAUAUAUGCUGUUGAAUUUGCCAACCGAGGCUGUUGCAUACGCAGCAUGAGGGGACUCGUUAGCAAUAUGUUUACUGUCAACAUUAUUUCAAAGCACCUACUUUAGUGUUUAUACUAGGACAUAAUAGGACCUUAAAUAAUUAUCGUGUGCAUCAAAGGGUUCAAAGCAGGUGUGAUGUUAAUGUUUUAGUGUUUUUGUUUCCACUGUGGGAUGAGCGCGAAUAAAUCCCUGACCCGCACCACGAGUGAGUCUUCACAUGUUUCUGUAUGUGACACAUGUUGUGCAAAACUUCUAAGAAAAACGUCUACUUACCAAGGUGCCAAAGAAGUUUCCAAUAAAACUGCAUAGUUCUACAUGGGUGAAUGA